rnacentral:rRNA from 1 species
AGUGAACGCUGGCGGUAGGCCUAACACAUGCAAGUCGAACGGCAGCACAGUAAGAGCUUGCUCUUACGGGUAGCGAGUGGCGGACGGGUGAGGAAUACAUCGGAAUCUACUUUUUCGUGGGGGAUAACGUAGGGAAACUUACGCUAAUACCGCAUACGACCUACGGGUGAAAGCAGGGGAUCUUCGGACCUUGCGCGAUUGAAUGAGCCGAUGUCGGAUUAGCUAGUUGGCGGGGUAAAGGCCCACCAAGGCGACGAUCCGUAGCUGGUCUGAGAGGAUGAUCAGCCACACUGGGACUGAGACACGGUCCAGACUCCUACGGGAGGCAGCAGUGGGGAAUAUUGGGCAAUGGGCGCAAGCCUGAUCCAGCCAUACCGCGUGGGUGAAGAAGGCCUUCGGGUUGUAAAGCCCUUUUGUUGGGAAAGAAAAGCAGCAGGUUAAUACCCCGCUGUUCUGACGGUACCCAAAGAAUAAGCACCGGCUAACUUCGUG